GCACGGGGGUCACAGCGGGCUGGGGACAGCACACAGCAGGGGCAGGUGCCAGGUGGCACUGGGGUCAGCUACAGCUUGGGGUGCAGGGUGGCAGCAGGAACAGGGGCAGGCUGAGCUGGCACUGCAGUCAGGGAGCGGACCCCACGUGGCAGUGGGAGCUGGACACCAUGCAGUGACAGGACCAGGAAGUGUUUCUCCCACUGCUGUCAGAGAAAUCAGAAAGGGGACUGGGUCAGCACCAAGAGAAAUAUGAGGGUUUUCAAUUUACCAUUAUUGUCAGCUAUGGGCAGAGUCUCCCAGGAGAGAGAGAGAUGACAGCAACACCUAUUAAUAACAAACACACAGGCCUUGUCUGCACCGGGAAAUUGCAGCAGGUAAAGAGAGUUGCCAGCUUGGCUGCAAAUCUCCCCGCUCCAGCUGCCUCAGUAGUGGUGAGAACUGGUCCCUGUUACAGCUGCCACAGAACCAGCAGAGUCCACCAGAAGCUGAUUUGGGCUGAAGUGUGGAGAUCUAGUUUGCAGGUGCUAUUACUUACUACAGUCCUCCUAAGAAAUGUGUGAAUGGGAGGAGAAAAUAAAACUUGACAUGAAAUCUCAUCAUCUUACCAAGGAAAACUCAUUCCACUCACAUUAGGUCUGAGCUCUCCGCCUGUUCAUCUCCUAUUACAAGGGAAUAAUUAGGCACUAACUUUUGUCUCUUGCCUUGUCCUUAGAUUGUAGGCCUCUUGGCACCAAACCCAUCCCACUGUCCAUGGCACAGAACACCUCAUCUUUACAAGCAUCUUUCCCCCCCUUGUGACAGAGUGCGGAGAACCAGCAGCUGAACCAGCACUCUGGUCAUGGGAAAUCCAAUUAGUUCCCCUGGAGAGGGCUUGACUGAGGGAAGGGGUGACUAAUUACCGGAGCAGCCUGGGCUGGGGAGAUCUGAGGAGCUAUUUAUCCAGUUAACUGCAAGAGUAGAAAAGGAGCAGAGGAAGGAAGUGCAGAGGGUGGAGAGAUCCCUUCUCUCUCUUAUUGACUAUAUGACACUUUAAAGAGAAUUGCCGCAUGGAAGGGAAAGAGAGUGGGCGCUGAUAAAACAAACACAAAGUACACAUUGGUGGUUACAGAGCAGAGGUGUCAGAGCCACUUACAGAAGACAGGAGCAGAGGGCCGUGCCCUGUUACAAGUGGGGGCUUGUCCGGGAUCUGCCUUAUUCAUGCUGACAGAGAAUCUCCCAUGGCAGCUGGUGCAGAGGCUCAGCAGUUGAGGCAAUGGAAGACAUUUCAGUGGCUCAGAGAACAGCAGAAGGAGAUGCAGAAGACCCUGCCAGCCUUCCAGCACACCCACCACCUGGACAGACAGUCCCUGUUGCAGGGCAGGCUGAGCAACAGAAAAGCCUGCAGGAUUUUAUUCAAGAGCAAGCCCAUGCACAGCAGCAGAUACUCCAAGGUGUGGCGAGUCCUGGAGUGGGGUACAGUAACCGGACACAGGCGGUAGGCCUCUAUAAGACAAGCCCUGUGGAUGACUCUGACCAAUUCUUGGUUGCUUUUGAAAGAGUAGCAGUAUGGGUGCAGGUUUGGAAAAGGGAACCUUGGCCCUAUAGCUAGCACCUACUCAAGAGGAAGCUCAGGAAACCUACAUGGUAGCGGCCAUGGGACUGUAAUAGGGUUCAGGCAGCCAUGCUAGAAAAGACAGGCUUGUCCACCAGUCAAAGUUUUGGGCCUCUAGAUGGACUGGGGUGUGUCUGUAAGAGACUGGUGUACUGGGAACCAAGCGGGAUGUGGAAAUUCUCCAGAAAGGACCCUAUUUGGGGAGUUUAAAUGUACUCACCAUACACAAACCCACAUCAUAUAUCACUUGAAUGUUUAUUUUAUGUCUAUUUACAUGGGGCAUGAUGUGGAGCUUUCAAGCGGUGCCACAGGCCUGUAGAUGAGGUGAAACAAUAGUACCCAAAAUGAGAGAGCCUGUUUUUCUCAUAGUUCUGGAAAUAUUGCAACAUAGCUACAGUUUUUACUGUUUACAUUCAUAUCAACACCUUAACGUGGUAUUUAUUGGUCAGAGCUCCCAACCAACAAUGUAUUAAAAUAUUUUGAAUGGUUUUGCAGGGGCAAGAAUUUUUUCUUCAGAAAUGAAGAAGCAUGUGGCAAAAACAGCAAAUAUCAACGUUUUGAAAUAUACCAACAUGAAGUGUUUUCCCAUUCAGAUAUUCUUAAUUGUCAACGUUAUUCACACGUGACUGUAAUAGUUUUCUGUGUUUCCAGUUGAAAUUUGCUGGCCAGAUCAGUCUCACAGUGAAGGUUGUACACCAGUAGCAAUAGCUUGCUGUGUCCAUAGUUUGUACUGUACAGGGGCAGAUACAAUGUACAUGAAUUCCUAACGUAAUGCUUCCUCUCCAUUUGUAAGCUUUUAUACAUACAAUGUAGCAUCUGCUUUACAUGGUAGAAGGUUUUAAUUUGUAAUUACCUAGACAUGCAGUACUAGCCUUUGAAAUAUUCUAGAAACUUGGCUUUUAAUUCAGUGACACACACACAGGUCAGUAUUAGCGUUAGAGAUGACAAUACACAGCUUCAUAUUACGAAUAUGUAAAAGCCAUGAGAGAAAGAAAUAGACUAACAAGAAGUAGUUAAGACAAAGUCCACAAACAAGUCUUUGCCUCUGCACUGAAAAGGGGUGAAGAUCCUGUUACAGCUCUUACCAACCAUGUCAUCAACAAUAUGACAAACCCAUUUGAUCCUGAAUCACAUCCAGAGGUGAUUACCAACACAUCUACUGCAUGUAACAUGAGAUGUGCAAGAGACUCGACUGAAACAGAUGUUGGUGAAGAAUAAAUAGACAGAUUUAUGAACGAUGCACUUGAUUCUGAUGGGACUCACAGCUUCUUCAGCUCAGUCAAGAAAUCUGGUAUCUGGUAUCAGAACAUUUAGUGACUUGGUCAAGAUGACCAAAUUAAAGUCUGGAAAGGGAGGAAUAGUCACCAGAGCUGUCUGUCCAGAAAUUGUUUUCCACAGAGCCACGUCCUUAGCAAGAUGCAGAGAUGAUGUUUCAAUGGCAACUGUUCUCAGUCACCCAAUAGGACUUGUGCCUAUGUCCCUCUUCCAUGGUGAGGGAACAAUGAUAAGAACAGACAAAGCUGAAUUGGGGCAUCAGCUGGAAACUCAAGAUGAAAGAAUCCAUGAGCUACGGUCAUGCAAACAAAAAUCAGAGUGUACAUGGCUAUCACACAAAUGACGGCUGGAAACAAAUUCCACACAUUCGAUGAACUGGCUGCUGAGUCAUUGAGGCAGGUCCUAAAAGGAUUUGACAAAGCUAAUUCUGUAAUCUAAGUCUUUGACAGAUAUGGCAACAGUAACUCUGAAAACUGCAGAAAGUCAGCACUGGACAGGAUCUACGGUUGGGUGCAAGAAAUAUCAGGUGAUUGGUGAAGAACCUGUGCCUCCUUGGGAAAAGUUUCCAAACAUGGCAUUCAACAAGCAGUCACUUAAAAAUUCCUCUGUAAAUAUAUGGUUCAAAAUGCACCUGAAAGUGUAGGUGCACACCCAAUACACACAUUCCUUUUUGCAGGAAGCUUUUCUAAUGAUGAAGUAGCAAAAUCCAUCGUGAGUAGAGGUGCUGAAGAAACCCAAGAUUUGUCCUGUACUCAAGAGGAAGCAGACACAAGGAUCCUGCUGUAUGCAGUAUGUGCCAUUAUGGCUUUUGGGUCUUGGUGUCCUGAUACAGACAUUUUCCUCCUUGCUGUUCAGCACUUUCCAAAAAUAGAACACGCAUAACAUGUGGUCUGAAAUAGGCAUCGUUACCAGCACAACUGACAAGCUGUUGCUUCAUACCUGAGCAUGCGAUUUGUGAUGCACUCACACCUGACAUCCGCUGUACAUGCAUUAACAGGAUGUGACUCUGUGCCAUCCCUGUUUGGUAUUGGGGAAAAAAUGUGUGUUUAAUGUUGUCAAAACAAAGAGAGCUUAUCACUUCAGCGAUCUUGCCAAACUGGGAGAAGGUGACAGACAAGCCGCAAUUUCUGCAGCAAGUAAGUUGGUAGCAGGGCUGUAAGACCAGAGCGGGAAAGAAAAGGAGACCCACAGAGAUCUGAAUUACUUGCACCUCAAAGGACAAGCCACUGGCCAAAUUCCCACCAUGUGAGGCUAGUUUUGAAGAGCAUGUCAAAAGAGCAUCUUGGCAAACAAAGAUUGAAUAUCUGCGCACACAGGUAAACCAGAUACUGGAUCACCAUUGCAACAUGGAUGGAAAAAUGUGGAUGAUGAACUAUUUUCUGGAUUCUUCAGUGGCAUCUGAGCUUCUACAAGGCCUGUAGCAGUAGAGAUCGGUGCAUAAUAAACUGUGGCUGUAGUCAGAACAAUCAUCACUGCCCCAAACCGUGGACAUGCCAAGGAAAUGAAGACUGUGGUAACCCCACUCCACUCUCAGAGAUAAUAAACAAGAUAAUGAUAAUGAGGUUGACUAGAAAUGUCACCAGCUCUAUUACAUUUCAGUGAUAUCCAUACAGAUUAUUAGAUUUCGUUUCACCCUUCAGAUUGUUGUUGUAUUGCUCUGAAGUCACAAAGAAAGCCAAUUUUUUCUUGAAAUAAUACAUAAUCAUUAAACUAACAAACA